CAGUUAUAUUCCUUUCACUGCUUUGUUAUUACUUUGAAAAACCAAUUAGUCUAAAGAAAGCACUAAACAACAGGUGUACAAAUAACAAUGAACAUUUAAUGCGAACAUUUUCACAUUAAAUGUUCGUUAAUCACAAGGCCACUUGAUAAAAGGCUGACUGAACAUAAAAGAGACAUAUGUAGCGGAAAGAUGUCUACAGCUCUAGCAACACAGGCUUUGGAAUAUAAUGUGCAGGUCAACUGGGAUGAAACUGAAAUACUCAGAACCUUGGAGAGAGAGGAACAUGCAUUGCUAGCUGAGGCUAUGAAAGUAUAUGUGAGUGACAAUAAGAACUUGAUGAACAUUAACCAACCGGUCCGUGAAUUACCAGCCGCCUGGAAAUAUCUUUUAACUAAGAAUAACAUUGGGGAUGACUAAGAAUGCUCUUUUAAAAGAAUACCUUAUGACCUGCUAGUUUGAGUUUAAUACCUAUAUUGACUUUUGUAUGCUCACACAUAUGUGAU
rnacentral:lncRNA from 1 species